AUGAACGCUAGCGGCAGGCCUAACACAUGCAAGUCGAGGGGCAGCAUAAUAGAUAGCUUGCUAUCUAUGGUGGCGACCGGCGCACGGGUGCGUAACGCGUAUGCAACCUACCAUUAACAGGGGGAUAACACUGAGAAAUUGGUACUAAUACCCCAUAACACAUUGGAAGGCAUCUUCUAAUGUUGAAAGUUCCGGCGGUUAAUGAUGGGCAUGCGUUGUAUUAGAUAGUUGGUGAGGUAACGGCUCACCAAGUCGACGAUACAUAGGGGGACUGAGAGGUUAACCCCCCACACUGGUACUGAGACACGGACCAGACUCCUACGGGAGGCAGCAGUGAGGAAUAUUGGUCAAUGGACGCAAGUCUGAACCAGCCAUGCCGCGUGCAGGAUGACGGCUCUAUGAGUUGUAAACUGCUUUUGUACGAGGGUAAACACAGAUACGUGUAUCUGCUUGAAAGUAUCGUACGAAUAAGGAUCGGCUAACUCCGUGCCAGCAGCCGCGGUAAUACGGAGGAUCCAAGCGUUAUCCGGAUUUAUUGGGUUUAAAGGGUGCGUAGGCGGUUUGGUAAGUUAGAGGUGAAAAUUCGGAGCUUAACUCCGAACGUGCCUCUAAUACUGCUGGACUAGAGAGUAGUUGCUGUUGGCGGAAUGUGUAGUGUAGCGGUGAAAUGCAUAGAGAUUACACAGAACACCGAUUGCGAAGGCAGCUAACAAAGCUAUAUCUGACGUUGAGGCACGAAAGCGUGGGGAGCAAACAGGAUUAGAUACCCUGGUAGUCCACGCAGUAAACGAUGAUAGCUCGUUGUCGGCGAUAUUAAUGUCGGUGACUAAGCGAAAGCGAUAAGCUAUCCACCUGGGGAGUACGUUCGCAAGAAUGAAACUCAAAGGAAUUGACGGGGGCCCGCACAAGCGGUGGAGCAUGUGGUUUAAUUCGAAGCAACGCGAAGAACCUUACCAGGUCUUGACAUCCUUUGACCACUCUAGAGAUAGAGCUUUCCCUUCGGGGACAAAGUGACAGGUGGUGCAUGGUUGUCGUCAGCUCGUGUCGUGAGAUGUUGGGUUAAGUCCCGCAACGAGCGCAACCCUUAUUGUUAGUUGCCAUCAUUUAGUUGGGCACUCUAGCGAGACUGCCGGUGACAAACCGGAGGAAGGUGGGGAUGACGUCAAAUCAUCAUGCCCCUUAUGACCUGGGCUACACACGUGCUACAAUGGUGAGAACAACGAGAUGCAAUACCGCGAGGUGGAGCAAAACUUCAAAACUCAUCUCAGUUCGGAUUGUAGGCUGAAACUCGCCUACAUGAAGUUGGAGUUGCUAGUAAUCGCGAAUCAGAAUGUCGCGGUGAAUACGUUCCCGGGCCUUGUACACACCGCCCGUCAAGCCAUGGAAGCUGGGGGUGCCUGAAGUACGUCACCGCAAGGAGCGUCCUAGGGCAAAACUAGUGACUGGGGCU
rnacentral:rRNA from 1 species